CCAGACUCCUACGGGAGGCAGCAGUGGGGAAUAUUGCACAAUGGGGGAAACCCUGAUGCAGCGACGCCGCGUGAGUGAAGAAGUAUUUCGGUAUGUAAAGCUCUAUCAGCAGGGAAGAAAAUGACGGUACCUGAUUAAGAAGCCCCGGCUAACUACGUGCCAGCAGCCGCGGUAAUACGUAGGGGGCGAGCGUUAUCCGGAAUUACUGGGUGUAAAGGGAGCGUAGACGGCAGCACAAGUCUGGAGUGAAAUCUCGGGGCUUAACCCCGGAACUGCUUUGGAAACUGUGCGGCUGGAGUGCAGGAGGGGUAAGCGGAAUUCCUAGUGUAGCGGUGAAAUGCGUAGAUAUUAGGAGGAACACCGGUGGCGAAGGCGGCUUACUGGACUGUAACUGACGUUGAGGCUCGAAAGCGUGGGGAGCAAACAGGAUUAGAUACCCUUGUA
rnacentral:rRNA from 1 species